rnacentral:rRNA from 1 species
UGGGGAAUCUUCCGCAAUGGACGAAAGUCUGACGGAGCAACGCCGCGUGAGUGAAGACGGCCUUCGGGUUGUAAAGCUCUGUGAUCCGGGACGAAAGAGCCUGAGGUAAAUAGCCUAAGGAAGUGACGGUACCGGAAAAGCAAGCCACGGCUAACUACGUGCCAGCAGCCGCGGUAAUACGUAGGUGGCAAGCGUUGUCCGGAAUUAUUGGGCGUAAAGCGCGCGCAGGCGGCUUCCUAAGUCCAUCUUAAAAGUGCGGGGCUUAACCCCGUGAUGGGAUGGAAACUGGGAAGCUGGAGUAUCGGAGAGGAAAGUGGAAUUCCUAGUGUAGCGGUGAAAUGCGUAGAGAUUAGGAAGAACACCGGUGGCGAAGGCGACUUUCUGGACGAAAACUGACGCUGAGGCGCGAAAGCGUGGGGAGUAAACAGG